AAUGAACGCUGGCGGCAUGCCUAACACAUGCAAGUCGAGCGAGCGGCGGACGGGUGAGUAAUGCCUGGGAAACUGCCUGAUGGAGGGGGAUAACUACUGGAAACGGUAGCUAAUACCGCAUACUAUCAGAUGUGCCCAGAUGGGAUUAGCUAGUAGGUGGGGUAACGGCUCACCUAGGCGACGAUCCCUAGCUGGUCUGAGAGGCUGACCAGCCACACUGGAACUGAGACACGGUCCAGACUCCUACGGGAGGCAGCAGUGGGGAAUAUUGCACAAUGGGCGCAAGCCUGAUGCAGCCAUGCCGCGUGUGUGAAGAAGGCCUUCGGGUUGUAAAGCACUGUCAGCGGGGAGGCGUUACCCACAGAAGAAGCACCGGCUAACUCCGUGCCAGCAGCCGCGGUAAUAC
rnacentral:rRNA from 1 species